rnacentral:tRNA from 1 species
CAUUAGAUGGCUGAAAUGUAAGUCUUGGUCUCUUAAACCAAUCAUAGUAAAUUAACUAAUACUUCUAAUGA